ensembl:lncRNA
GCUUCACAGAGAUAGACCAAUUCCUACUGAAAUCUCGGCUGCUUACACAUUACUCUGCACAUUUGAUCUCAGAGAGUAUUAGAGAGUAAAACUUGAUCACAUUAUUGCACAGUGUUUAUAACGCAUCACUGAAAAUGUGCCACAUGCAGGAUUUAUGUACAUUAAUAAGAAAUCCAAUGCCAUUUUGGUGCCAUUUGUUUUGAAUCAGAUGAUUAUUAUUGAUCAUUUGUAGCAUACCAGUUACAGAUGUAUAUUGUUUAGCACUAAGACAAGUCAAUACAGCUUUAAUUCACAAAGUGUAGUAAUCUGAGUGUACUAACCCGAGUGAACUAACCCGAGUGAACUAACCCGAGUGUAGUAACCCGAGUGUAGAAUCUGAGUGUAGUAAUCUGAGUGUAGUAAUCUGAGUGUAGUAACCCGAGUGUAGUAAUCUGAGUGUAUUAAUCUGAGUGUAGUAAUCUGAGUGUAGUAAUCUGAGUGUACUAACCUGAGUGUAGUAAUCCGAGUGUAGUAAUCCGAGUGUAGUAACCCGAGUGUAGUAACCCGGUUGUACUAACCCGAGUGUACUAACCCGAGUGUAGUAAUCCGGUUGUAGUAAUCCGAGUGUAGUAAUCCGAGUGUAGUAACCUGAGUGUAGUAACCUGAGUGUAGUAAUCUGAGUGUAGUAACCUGAGUGUAGUAAUCUGAGUGUAGUAACCUGAGUGUAGUAACCUGAGUGUAGUAAUCUGAGUGUAGUAAUCUGAGUGUAGUAAUCAACCCUCAACCAGCAUUACUUUAAUAUGAAAGCAAGAAUGAAUACAUUUAUCUAUCUUUCACCUAAAUCACCCAUAACACCAGUACAUGAGUUUUAACCGGGUCAUUCG